AGUUCAAACCUAUUUUCCAACAUCAUCUCGGCCCAACAUAAUUCACCAUCUUCGUCGUCUGCUCAGUUUCUCCAACGAUCACCGAUUGUGCAACCACCAUUAUAACGCUUUCUCUACACAUUCAUAUCAAGACAUUAAGCUUCUUAAUCAUGUUGUCCCACUGACUAUUCUUCGAUUCAUCUUCCUCACUUUUUCUAUUAUUCUGAUUCUAUAUAUAGAGAUAGAUCGAGAACAAGCCUCUACACAUCUCAUCGAUUCUUCAUCCCAACUCUCACUAUAUGCGUCGUCUGACAUUCACUAAGUUUCUAUGGCUCCGCGAAACGACCAUUGUAAUGCCUUUCCUCGGCAUUCCACUUUCAAAAUUGUCUCAAAAGUCUAGGGUAGAUGAAAGAAACGACGACUAAGGCGGGUUUAGAUUUUAUAACAAGAAGUAGAUUUUUUCUUUCUUUGAAGAGAGGACACAAUCUUUGUCUUCUUAAACACAAUCUCAAGUCUCACACUGACCGCCAUUUUAGGCCGAAUCUCUUCGAGAAACAGAGGAAAUUGAUAAAGGAUAUUGAUGAGUACGAUGGUGAUGAACAUCUCUUCCCCUGGAUCGAGUGAGUAGUCAUCUUCCAAUAAGUUGUUGAGAAGUCGGAGAUUAUGGGUUCUUGAAAACUACAGCUUUUUGGAAUUGUAUUAGCACAUUUUGCGAUUCUCUCUAGAUUGACUUACAAUAUGUGUAUAUAAUGGGGAGAAGAGGAUUCUCCUCCAGUAAGAGACUGCUUGGGACUGUUGUUGAUAUAUGAGCAAUGCAUCCUCAAGUUCUGGCACUCACAACAUUACAAGGAUGAUCUUUUUUAAACUCAAAGUUGCGGAGCAUUGCGUUGAUGCAGCAAUAAUUUACAAGUUUUUGGAGGUUAAAUGACUUUGGAAAGACAUAUGCUUUGGCACACAUACUUUGGAAACCACCACUCAGAUCUUCAACCUCGAAAUAUCUAGAUGCAAAGCCUAUGGAAAAUUUGAAUGAUGCUUACAAGAAACUCAUGGUGAUAACAAUGAGAAGACUCAAAACAGUUGAUGAACAGGAAGCAAAGAAAAAUGACCUACCAUCGAGAAGCUUUGUCCCUAUGUCAUUUAGGGGAGAUAAUAUAGAAGGCAUGUGUUAAAACCAGAGUUUGAAUAUUGGCUCAUGCGUGGAUACAGAGGAGAGAGGACAGUGAGUAAUUCUUAACCUGGGAAAAUGGACAACAUUCAAGGUUUUGACUCUGUGCUAGCCUCCAAACUAAACCAACUUAUUUAUGCAAGUUGAUCUUUUACCUGCACACACACAUACAUCUAUUUAUCCUCGCAGGUUCCAGAAAGACCGUUUGUGAGAACUCAUGCAGCUUCUACUUAUUCCUUUGAGGUUUUUGUCGACGAAGAAAAAAUGUAUAGAAUUAGUUGACAAAUUUUAAGUGUUUACGCUUAAAGACGGAGAUGUUUCGCUUCUGAAUUUAAAUUACGAAAAAUGCAGAAAAGCAAGAAGAAUGAAACCUAUUCUCUGCCGCUAAUGAUGGCCAUGACCCAUGGGAUUUUUUUUUUUUUUUUUUUUUGUAACACAACCAU